UACGAAGGGGGCUAGCGUUGCUCGGAAUCACUGGGCGUAAAGGGUGCGUAGGCGGGUCUUUAAGUCAGGGGUGAAAUCCUGGAGCUCAACUCCAGAACUGCCUUUGAUACUGAAGAUCUUGAGUUCGGGAGAGGUGAGUGGAACUGCGAGUGUAGAGGUGAAAUUCGUAGAUAUUCGGAAGAACACCAGUGGCGAAGGCGACUCACUGGACACGUAUUGACGCUGAGGUGCGAAGCGUGGGGAGCAAACAGG
rnacentral:rRNA from 1 species